AUGAGCUUUUAUGAGUGUAUUUUGUCCAGCUCUAGGCCAAUACAAAUGACAUUUAAGCCAUAAAUACAUGGAAGAUGCAUGUAAACAAGAUCAAGACUCGAGUGAUGUUAUUAUCAUUACUGCCUGCAUAAUGUUGUUUUUAGAUCUCCUCUUUGUGAUUCCUAUACAAACCAUAGAUGCAAACUGAAGCUACAAAAUCGUAUCCUGAUUUAACUCGGUUAAUAAUAUGCAAAUGUUCACCAUCCACAUGAGAGAAUAAGAGUGUCAGUUUCCUCGAGUACAGGAUCAGUCACUAACACUAGGACAAAAGCUGUGUGGAUGUCCUGUCUGACUCUGAAAUCAAUCAUGAGUCAAAUUCUACUCAUUUUGUGUGUUUUUUUACCAUAUGUUUCUGGCAUCUCUCUGACCUCGUCUCCUGCACAGAUUAAAGCUCCUGGUCAAUCAGUGAAGUUGUCCUGUCAGAUCUCUGGAUAUGCCCUCAAAGACUAUGGCACAGCUUGGAUCAGGCAGCCUCCUGGAAAAGCCAUGGAGUGGAUCGGGAUCAUAUGGGGCAGUGGAUCGAUAGACUCUGGAAAUUCCUUCAAGAGUCGCUUCACGAUUUCCAGAGACACGGACCGGAAUGAGCUGUACUUAGACAUCAGCAGCCUGCAGACUGAAGACACAGCUGUGUAUUACUGUGCAAAGACAGACACAGUGGCUCAGCUCAAUGUGAGAAAGUGACAAAAACAGAUCUGC